UGGGGAGGGUUACUGUGACUUGUGCGUGUUCGGGGGCUUUUAUAGCCCCCGGAGAGGAAGAGACCGCAAUGGGCAAUGGGCCUGGCCCAUUAGGAUCAAAUAUUUUGAUGGAAGAUAGGAUCAAAACUGAUAGGGAAGAUUCAGGCAGUGGAAGGGCUGCAAAGUGGACGCGCUCAGCGAAACACAGCAAUUUUUCCGACAGGGCAGCCAUGGAUCCGCCCGUCCAUCUUCCCAUGCUCGGGCGACGACGGCGGUAGCAGCAGCAGCUCCUGCUGCAACGCCGGCACUGCUUCUCGUUAAGAGUCAGGGUUCUGAUCCUAUUCGCUCCUCGUCGGGAAGGAAUCGGAUGCGGCGGCGAAAAGGAGGAGAUAUCCGAGAUGGGUGGGAAGAACCCUAGAAGGAUUCCCGCGUAUCCGGAACGAUCCAUCUCGCCGUUCGCCGGAACCAUGGCUUCCACCUCUUUUCCCUUUCUCCGGCUGCCGACGCUCCGAUGCAACCCUAGUUUGAUCGGCAUCAUGGAGAUGAUGGCGAGGAUGGCAAAAUGGGCUCCGAAACACUUGAUUAGGAGUAACGAAGGCCACGGGGGAGGAACCCUAAGCGGGCCCAAUAUCGAAGGUGAUUCCCUCGAUGGAUUGGUUUUGCGAUCCAGCCGGGAUACCCUGGAAACCGAUCAGGGAGAUCGAUUGCGGAACUCAAGAACCACUGAGAAAGACACAGAGGAGACGAUCGAACGAGAUAAUUGUAUCUCUAAAGUUCCUCUUUUUUUUUUUUCUUUUUUUUUCCCUCAAAGAAGAUGUAUUUUUGUUGUUAUCAAUUUAUGUUUUCUUUAUCAGUUCUCCUGCUGAUAGGCAGUGGUGUCAAUUUGUGAAUGUUUCUUUUUUCUUUGAAUCCCAGGUGAAAGAUUUAUAAGCUUCA